UACAGAGGGGGCGAGCGUUAAUCGGAAUUACUGGGCGUAAAGCGUGCGUAGACGGUUAUCUAAGUCGGAUGUGAAAGCCCCGGGCUCAACCUGGGAAUUGCAUUCGAGACUGAAUAGCUAGGGUGCGGUAGAGGGAAGCGGAGUUUCCGGUGUAGCGGUGAAAUGCGUAGAUAUCGGAAGGAACAUCAGUGGCGAAAGCGGCUUCCUGGACCAGCACCGACGUUCAGGCACGAAAGCGUGGGGAGCAAACAGG
rnacentral:rRNA from 1 species